GAUUGAAAUCUCGAUUUCGAGAUUGGGUGAGGCUCAGCGAGAAGUGUAGUUUGUAGUAUGAGCUUUAACGGAUUUUGCAGCCAUUUUUAAGCCAAAAAUA
ensembl:ncRNA Y40B1B.9 ncRNA